AAAUAAGGAAGUUCGUUUAAAACCGUUCACGUCCUGUGAACAACACCGAACGACCUACAUCCUGUAGG
rnacentral:sRNA from 20 species